GUGCUCACUUCAGCAGUACAUAUACUAAAAUUGGAACGAUGUGGAGAAGAUUAGCAUGGCCCCAGGGCAAGGAUGACUGGCAAAUUCGUGAAGUGUUCCAUUAAAAA
rnacentral:snRNA from 1 species